AGAGGUUUAGGUUAAUAUUAGACCAAAGGCCUUCAAAGCCUUUAGUGGGGGUGAAAUUCCCUCAAUUUCUG
rnacentral:tRNA from 2 species